rnacentral:rRNA from 1 species
UACAGAGGGUGCUAGCGUUAAUCGGAUUUACUGGGCGUAAAGCGUGUGUAGGCGGUUUGUUAAGUCGGGUGUGAAAUCCCUGGGCUCAACCCUGGGAAUUGCAUUCGAUACUGGCAAGCUAGAGUACGGUAGAGGGCGGCGGAAUUCCGGGUGUAGCGGUGAAAUGCGUAGAUAUCUGGGAGACACCGGUGGCGAAGGCGGCAUCCUGGACCGGCAUUGACGCUGA